rnacentral:rRNA from 1 species
GAUGAACGCUGGCGGCGUACCUAAUACAUGCAAGUCGAGCGAACAGACGAGGAGCUUGCUCCUCUGACGUUAGCGGCGGACGGGUGAGUAACACGUGGAUAACCUACCUAUAAGACUGGGAUAACUUCGGGAAACCGGAGCUAAUACCGGAUAAUAUAUUGAACCGCAUGGUUCAAUAGUGAAAGACGGUUUUGCUGUCACUUAUAGAUGGAUCCGCGCCGCAUUAGCUAGUUGGUAAGGUAACGGCUUACCAAGGCGACGAUGCGUAGCCGACCUGAGAGGGGGAAUCGCCACAACUGAACUGGAGCCACGGUCCGGACCCCAACGGAAGCAGCCGUAGGGAAUCUUUCGGAAUGGGCCGAAGCCUGACCGAGGCAAGGCGGGUGGGGGAUGAAGGUUUUCGGAUCCGUAAACCUCUUUAUUAGGGAAGAACAAAUGUGUAAGUAACUUUGCACGUCCUGACGGUAACUAAUCCAAAAGCCAGGGCUAACUACCUG